rnacentral:rRNA from 1 species
GACGAACGCUGGCGGCGUGCCUAAUACAUGCAAGUCGAGCGGACGAAUCGAAAGCGUGCUUUUGAUUCGUUAGCGGCGGACGGGUGAGUAACACGUGGGCAACCUGCCCUGUAGACGGGGAUAACACCGAGAAAUCGGUGCUAAUACCGGAUAACACGAAAUGUCGCAUGACGUUUCGUUGAAAGACGGCGCAAGCUGUCGCUACAGGAUGGGCCCGCGGCGCAUUAGCUAGUUGGUGAGGUAACGGCUCACCAAGGCGACGAUGCGUAGCCGACCUGAGAGGAUGAUCGGCCACACUGGGACUGAGACACGGCCCAGACUCCUACGGGAGGCAGCAGUAAGGAAUCUUCCGCAAUGGACGAAAGUCUGACGGAGCAACGCCGCGUGAGCGAAGAAGGCCUUCGGGUCGUAAAGCUCUGUUGUUAGGGAAGAACAAGUAACGCAGUAACUGGCGUUACCGUGACGGUACCUAACGAGAAAGCCACGGCUAACUACGUG